CCUACGGGUGGCAGCAGUGAGGAAUAUUGGUCAAUGGGAGAGAUCCUGAACCAGCCAAGCCGCGUGAGGGAAGAAGGCCCUAUGGGUUGUAAACCUCUUUUGUCGGAGAACAAAACCCGGGACGUGUCCCGGACUGCGUGUAUCCGAAGGAAAAGCAUCGGCUAACUCCGUGCCAGCCGCCGCGGUAAUACGGGGGCUGCGAGCGUUAUCCGGAUUUAUUGGGGUAAAGGGGUGCGUAGGCGGUCCGUUAAGUCAGCGGUAAAAUUGAGGGGCUCAACCCCGUCGCGCCGUUGAAACUGGCAGACUUGAGUUGGCGAGAAGUACGCGGAAUGCGCGGUGUAGCGGUGAAAUGCAUAGAGAUCACGCAGAACUCCGAUUGCGAAGGCAGCAUACCGGCGCCCAACUGACGCUCAGGCACGAAAGCGUGGGUAUCGAACAGGAUUAGAUACCCCAGUAGUC
rnacentral:rRNA from 1 species